rnacentral:rRNA from 1 species
UACGUAGGGCGCAAGCGUUGUCCGGAAUUAUUGGGCGUAAAGAGCUCGUAGGUGGCUUGUCACGUCGGGUGUGAAAGCUUGGGGCUUAACUCCAGGUCUGCAUUCGAUACGGGCAGACUUGAGUUCGGUAGGGGAGACUGGAAUUCCUGGUGUAGCGGUGAAAUGCGCAGAUAUCAGGAGGAACACCGGUGGCGAAAGCGACUCUCUGGACGGCAACUGACGCUGAGGCACGAAAGCGUGGGGAGCAAACAGG